rnacentral:misc_RNA from 1 species
GCAAACUUGGUCAUUUAGAGGAAGUAAAAGUCGUAACAAGGUUUCCGUAGGUGAACCUGCGGAAGGAUCAUUAUUGAAUAAACUUGGUUUAGACUGUUGCUGGCCCUUCCAGGCAUGUGCACGCCUAUUCCGACUUUAUAACCACCUGUGCAUUAUAUGUAGAUCUGGAUAUCAGUCGAGACAAACUCGGUUUCAAAGGAUUGCAGUGCUUAAUUGCCUGCUUUCCUUUAUAUUUCAGAUCUAUGUUUUAUUAUUAUACACCAUAUAAAGUUCUUGAAUGUGUUAUACUUUAGGCAUUUGCCUAUAAAUAUAAAUACAACUUUCAACAACGGAUCUCUUGGCUCUCGCAUCGAUGAAGAACGCAGC